rnacentral:tRNA from 1 species
GCCUCUAUGGCGCAGCGGUAGCACGCUUGUCUGGGACACCGGAGGUCCCGGGUUCGAAUCCCGGCCAGGGCA